rnacentral:lncRNA from 1 species
AGGGCGCGGACGCAAAAACGCCCGCCCCUCCGCCCGCAGGCCGCAGUCCAGCCAGUGCCGCUCCGCUCUAUAUAAAGGAGCCGAGAGCGGGGGGAGGAAACCCUAAGCAGAGUGGGGAAAGGCGUCUUCGUACUCGCCUCUCUCCGCGCAACCGAGCCUUCCGCCCACCUCCUCCCCAUUUCGCCAGCGGCGCACCCACCAACCACCCCCACCCGCCGCCAUGAGGGAGUGCAUCUCGAUCCACAUCGGCCAGGCCGGCAUCCAGGUCGGGAACGCGUGCUGGGAGCUCUACUGCCUCGAGCAUGG